GUAAGUCAACACACAAAAUCUAAAAAGAUUAACCUAUGUUUUUAUUUUUCUUAAUUAACCCUUCCUAUAGCCUUUCUUUUUAAUUUUAGAAAAAGUGGUAAAUAUUUUCUAACUUGAAAAUCUAAUUUCCUAUGGGUUAAGAAUUAUUUGUGAUUGAUAAAGCAUUAUUCAUGUUUUAUACAUUUUAUAAAUAUUAAGUAUUUAUUUAACUACCUUAAAAGGAAGGCAUUAAAUAAAUACCCGAAUUUUUUUUUUAUUUUCCUAGGGUGUCAAAAUUUUAAUGCAUAAAGGAAAAUAAAAUAAGCCUAACAAAAUUGGUUUCACUAAUUUUGGACACUCCUACAAAUUUCUGUGAUUAAAAAGGUGUAAAACGAAUUUAAACGAAUUAUUUUGCUAAGGAAAUCUAACUUUUCCCGAAAUUCCCCCGGAAAAACUUUUCUUACUCACCCACGCUCUACCCUCUCUCACGAACCACUGGACCCCACGGCGCGGACCCCACCUUCCUAUUCAUUUCUACCCGCCGGUUCUCCUCUUCCCCCUGACGGGCCCCC
rnacentral:lncRNA from 1 species